rnacentral:rRNA from 1 species
UACGUAGGGUGCGAGCGUUAAUCGGAAUUACUGGGCGUAAAGGGUGCGCAGGCGGCUCCGCAUGUCGGGCGUGAAAUCCCCGGGCUUAACCUGGGAAUUGCGUCCGAAACUAUGGAGCUGGAGUGUGGCAGAGGGAGGUGGAAUUCCACGUGUAGCGGUGAAAUGCGUAGAUAUCCGGAGGAACACCAGAGGCGAAGGCGACCUCCUGGGUCGUACCUGACGCUGAGAUGCGAAAGCUAGGGGAGCAAACGGG